AUGUCCUUAGUUCUAGGAAAUUUUGCUUCUAACUUCCUCUUCUCUGUGUUCUCCAUUCUUUCUGGACCUAUGCUAGCCAUGGAAACUUCAGCCAACUUGCUAUGCAUUUAUCUAACAGUACCGGGAUGGAUGGGCAAUAUAGUUAUAAGGAUCAUAUGGAGUUGCAAUUUGAAUUUUUAGGAAGGUCACUGUGGUAGGAGCUGCAGAGGGAAGAGGAGAGUUUGAUAAAAAGAUAAUGAGAUCUGCUUUGAUGCAUUCUUCCUGAAAAUGUUGAUGAGAAAUGAAGAUGAAGAUGCACACACCAAAUGUUGCACCACUUAUUUUGGUGACUUUUAAAGAAUGGCAAUGGGAAGACAGAUGACCCAUGAGACCUUUUGAAGGAGAAUUUGGCGUUUGGACCAAGAAUGUUGAAACGAUUAGAUUUGAAAAGAGCUUCUACCCUAUAGUUGCAAAUUUCUUUUUUAAUAAAGAGGAAACAAGGCACA
rnacentral:lncRNA from 1 species